AUGAACGCUGGCGGCGUGCCUAAUACAUGCAAGUCGCGCGAACAGACGAGGAGCUUGCUCCUCUGACGUUAGCGGCGGACGGGUGAGUAACACGUGGAUAACCUACCUAUAAGACUGGGAUAACUUCGGGAAACCGGAGCUAAUACCGGAUAAUAUAUUGAACCGCAUGGUUCAAUAGUGAAAGACGGUUUUGCUGUCACUUAUAGAUGGAUCCGCGCCGCAUUAGCUAGUUGGUAAGGUAACGGCUUACCAAGGCAACGAUGCGUAGCCGACCUGAGAGGGUGAUCGGCCACACUGGAACUGAGACACGGUCCAGACUCCUACGGGAGGCAGCAGUAGGGAAUCUUCCGCAAUGGGCGAAAGCCUGACGGAGUAACGCCGCGUGAGUGAUGAAGGUCUUCGGAUCGUAAAACUCUGUUAUUAGGGAAGAACAAAUGUGUAAGUAACUAUGCACGUCUUGACGGUACCUAAUCAGAAAGCCACGGCUAACUACGUG
rnacentral:rRNA from 1 species